AUCUGGGAAGGAGGGGAGGACGGAGGCAAAAUGGGAAAGACAUAGAGCCCGCUGGUGUGGUUACAGCUCCAAGAGGAGCUUUUGGAGAAUCAGAAUUACAACUUGGAUGUGUAUAUUCUCGCUAAUGAACCAGGGCUUGCCAUGGGAAGUUCUGCAAGGAAAUAAACCCGGAGGCCUGCCCGCCGCCCAGCCUGGCCUCUGGGCCCCCAGGGGAAAGCUGCCGUAUUAAAGGGGCCCAUGCCCUCAUCGCUGGAGGAGACAAGGGAGCGAGCACUUGGCUGCACCACAGAAAUUACUGCUGUACCUCGAAUGCCCGCUUCAUUUAUCAAUUUCAUAGCAGAAAAACCCAUAUGACUGCCUUGUUCACUCGUACGCUAAAUCUCGACACGAAAGCUCCCCACCGCCAGUCAAGUGUGUUAUGUGUGGGUCUGGAUAAAGUAACUUGAAAUACCACUAAUGAUUUAUACUUAAUUGAACCUCUAAGUGAUUAAAGUGGCAGUAAUGAAUGAAUAACACCCUCCCUGUUCCCUCGCCCGCCGGGCCCAGCGUCUCCAGGCAGAGUGGGCCUCGCCUGGGGACAUCAGCUCGGACAGCCAGCCUGAGCCAUUCCCUAGGCUUCCCCCCCAAGCUGCUCGUCUGGGUCCGGGCUAAAUUGCUCUCGCCUGCAGUAAAUGACUCCAUAAGCACCGUA